UACACUGAGUCAGAUAGUCUGCUCUCUCAACUUAAAUCAUUAGAACAAAUUAAUAAACUCAAACCAACUAAAAAUCUAUCCCAAAAUAUCGAAAAGUUAAGGGAAAGACUACUCGAACUAUCCCUGAUAGGUGUGGAACGGCAGCUCCGCAAGUUAAAGCUCGCCUAUUAUAUGCAAGGGAACAAGGCAGGCAAACUGCUUGCAAAACGGCUAAAAUCCCGAUACAUACAAUCUAAACUUCCGUAUAUGACUUCAUCCACUGGGUCAAAACUAUUCAAUCCACAAGAUAUAGUAGACGAACUGGCAAAUUUUUAUAAGGGAUUAUAUAACCUUACACAGGACAGGACCUUACAUCAACCAAUAGAUUCAGAGGCAGGGUCAAAACUCCCCAAAGCCACGUCCUUG